CCUACGGGGGGCAGCAGUGGGGAAUAUUGGACAAUGGGCGAAAGCCUGAUCCAGCCAUGCCGCGUGAGUGAUGAAGGCCUUAGGGUUGUAAAGCUCUUUUGUCCGGGAAGAUAAUGACUGUACCGGAAGAAUCAGCCCCGGCUAACUUCGUGCCAGCAGCCGCGGUAAUACGAAGGGGGCUAGCGUUGCUCGGAAUCACUGGGCGUAAAGGGCGCGUAGGCGGACUUUUAAGUCGGAGGUGAAAGCCCAGGGCUCAACCCUGGAAUUGCCUUCGAGACUGGGAGGCUUGAGUUAGGAAGAGGUGGGUGGAACUGCGAGUGUAGAGGUGAAAUGCGUAGAUAUUCGCAAGAACACCGGUGGCGAAGGCGGCCAACUGGUCCGAAACUGACGCUGAGGCGCGAAAGCGUGGGGAGCAAACAGGAUUAGAUACCCUAGUAGUC
rnacentral:rRNA from 1 species